rnacentral:rRNA from 4 species
UGCCCCGAGAUGAGUUCUCCCUGAGACUUAAAGUCUCCUGAAGGAACGUUGAAGACGACGACGUUGAUAGGCCGGGUGUGUAAGCGCAGCGAUGCGUUGAGCUAACCGGUACUAAUGAACCGUGAGGCUUAACCUUACAACGCCGAAG